UACGUAGGGGCCUAGCGUUGUCCGGAUUUAUUGGGCGUAAAGAGCUCGUAGGCGGUUCGGUAAGUCAGGUGUGAAAUCUCCACGCUCAACGUGGAGGCGCCACCUGAAACUGCCGUGACUCGAGUCCGGUAGGGGAGUGUGGAAUUCCCGGUGUAGCGGUGAAAUGCGCAGAUAUCGGGAGGAACACCAGUGGCGAAGGCGGCAUCCUGGACCGACACUGACGCUGAAAAGCGAAAGCCAGGGGAGCAAACGGG
rnacentral:rRNA from 1 species